CCUACGGGUGGCUGCAGUGAGGAAUAUUGGUCAAUGGGCGUAAGCCUGAACCAGCCAAGUCGCGUGAGGGAUGAAGGUUCUAUGGAUCGUAAACUUCUUUUAUAAGGGAAUAAAGUGCGGGACGUGUCUCGUUUUGUAAGUACCUUAUGAAUAAGGAUCGGCUAACUCCGUGCCAGCAGCCGCGGUAAUACGGAGGAUCCGAGCGUUAUCCGGAUUUAUUGGGUUUAAAGGGUGCGUAGGCGGCCUGUAAGUUAGCGGUGAAAGUCUGUGGCUCAACCAUAGAAUUGCCGUUGAAACUGGGAGGCGUGAGUGUGUUUGAGGCAGGCGGAAUGUGUGGUGUAGCGGUGAAAUGCUUAGAUAUCACGCAGAACACCGAUUGCGAAGGCAGCCUGCCAAGCCACUACUGACGCUGAGGCACGAAAGCGUGGGGAUCAAACAGGAUUAGAUACCCCAGUAGUC
rnacentral:rRNA from 1 species